UUUCUAAGAGUCGAGUUGUUUGGGAUUGCAGCUCAAAAUGGGAGGUAAAUUUCUCCUAAGGCUAAAUAUUGGCGAGAGACCGAUAGCGAACAAGUACCGUGAGGGAAAGAUGAAAAGAACUUUGAAAAGAGAGUUAAACAGUACGUGAAAUUGUUGAAAGGGAAACGAUUGAGGUCAGUCAUACUAACGGGAAAUCAACCUAUUUGAGUUGUGAAUUUUGGAUUUUGAAGAGUGUAAACCUUCUUGUUCCAAAUAUUUUGCGCUUUUUAGGCGUAAUUUCUCGUUCGGUAGGUUAACAUCGAUUUUGAAUAUUAUAAAAUGACCGGAGGAAUGUAGCUUCGAUCUCGUAUUGAAGUGUUAUAUCCUUUGAUAGAUGUAAUGAUCAAGAUCGAGGAUUGCAACGAAUACCCUUUGGGCUAUCCGUCUGAUCUCUGAUACGUUGCCUUGGUAACGAAAGCUUGCUUACGGUAUUGAGGUAUUACGGUCAAAAGGUUAGAACGUGAUUACAUUCGUU
rnacentral:rRNA from 1 species